GUGGAUUAGAUACCCUGGUAGUCCACGCCCUAAACGAUGCGAACUGGAUGUUUGGUGCAAUUUGGCACGCAGUAUCGAAGCUAACGCGUUAAGUUCGCCGCCUGGGGAGUACGGUCGCAAGACUGAAACUCAAAGGAAUUGACGGGGGCCCGCACAAGCGGUGGAGUAUGUGGUUUAAUUCGAUGCAACGCGAAGAACCUUACCUGGUCUUGACAUCCACGGAACUUUCCAGAGAUGGAUUGGUGCCUUCGGGAACCGUGAGACAGGUGCUGCAUGGCCGUCGUCAACU
rnacentral:rRNA from 1 species